ensembl:lncRNA
GUCCUUUCCAUGAGCAGAAAGGGAUUAAGAAUGUCAGGGGGAGGGUGGCCCCCCUCCCCUUUUAACCCUGCACACCGCUUGCUAUUCAGGAUGGUGGUAAGGCAUUUGGGGGUCAGUGAGAACAGUGAUCCUACACAGCUGGGGAAGCAGAAUGAGUGGGGCGACCAUCACUUAUGAGAACGGCACACCAGGCUUCCCUGUCCUUCACGGUCUCGCAAAGCUUGCUCACCACUGAGUCGGUGAUGUCAUCCAACCAUCUCAUCCUCUGUCGUUCCUGAGAGCCACAGUG